GGAAUUGUUCGCAAUGGGCGCAAGCCUGACGACGCAACGCCGCGUGGAGGAUGAAGAUUUUCGGAUCGUAAACUCCUUUCGAGCGGGACGAAUGGCCAGUGGUCUAAUACGCCACUGGAUUGCCGGUACCGCGAGAAGAAGCCCAGGCUCACUCCGUGCCCGCAGCCGCGGUAAUACGGGGGGGGCAAGCGUUGUUCGGAAUUACUGGGCGUAAAGGGCGCGUAGGCGGCCUGCUAAGUCACACGUGAAAUCCCUCGGCUCAACCGGGGAACUGCGUGUGAUACUGGCGGGCUUGAAUUCGGGAGAGGGAUGUGGAAUUCCAGGCGUAGCGGUGAAAUGCGUAGAUAUCUGGAGGAACACCGGUGGCGAAGGCGGCAUCCUGGACCGAGAUUGACGCUGAGGCGCGAAAGCUAGGGUAGCAA
rnacentral:rRNA from 1 species